CUUCACCGAACCCAACCACAGCGGCUCACCGCGAUCCUGACCGUAUGUCGCCAGCAACGCCCGCGCUUC
rnacentral:antisense_RNA from 1 species